CGGAGACCGUCGUCGCUGUUCAUUCCCUGCAACAAUAUCCUGAUGCUGACAGAGUGAACCUGGCGACUCCAGCAUCAGUGAUUUUGUUGCGGAGGGUGAUCACUCACUGCUUUGCAAUGG
rnacentral:pre_miRNA from 17 species